rnacentral:rRNA from 1 species
UGGGGAAUUUUGGACAAUGGGCGAAAGCCUGAUCCAGCAAUGCCGCGUGUGUGAAGAAGGCCUUCGGGUUGUAAAGCACUUUUGUCCGGAAAGAAAUCCUUGGCUCUAAUACAGUCGGGGGAUGACGGUACCGGAAGAAUAAGCACCGGCUAACUACGUGCCAGCAGCCGCGGUAAUACGUAGGGUGCAAGCGUUAAUCGGAAUUACUGGGCGUAAAGCGUGCGCAGGCGGUUUGCUAAGACCGAUGUGAAAUCCCCGGGCUCAACCUGGGAACUGCAUUGGUGGCUGGCAGGCUAGAGUAUGGCAGAGGGGGGUAGAAUUCCACGUGUAGCAGUGAAAUGCGUAGAGAUGUGGGGGAAUACCGAUGGCGAAGGCAGCCCCCUGGGCCAAUACUGACGCUCAUGCACGAAAGCGUGGGGAGCAAACAGGAUUAGAUACCCUGGUAGUCCACGCCCUAAACGAUGUCAACUAGUUGUUGGGGAUUCAUUUCCUUAGUAACGUAGCUAACGCGUGAAGUUGACCGCCUGGGGAGUACGGUCGCAAGAUUAAAACUCAAAUGAAUUGACGGGGUCAUAGCUGUUUCCUG